UAAAAUAAUUAAGGGCACACAAAGGAUGCCUAGGUAGUAAGAGCCGAUGAAGGACGUGGUAAGCUGCGAUAAGCCUAGAUAAGUUGCAAUCGAACGUAAGAGUCUAGGAUUUCCGAAUGGAGCAAUCUAUUAAGAUGGAGUCUUAAUACGAAAGAGGGAACCGCGUGAACUGAAACAUCUAAGUAACGCGAGGAAAAGAAAGUAAAAACGAUACCCAAAGUAGCGGCGAGCGAAAUGGGUCAAGCCUAAACCUUAAAUAUGUCAAGGAUACAGCCGUUGUAUUUAAGGGGUUGAGGGACAGAGUGAUGAAGAACUGUAAGAUAUUCAAUAUAGUGUAUUGAUGAAUUAGAAUAGUCUGGAAAGGCUAACCGUAGAAGGUGAAAGUCCUGUAUAAGUAAAUCCUUACACAUAUAACUUUGCUCCCAAGUAACAUGGAACACGAGGAAUUCUGUGUGAAUCUGUGAGGACCAUAUCUCAUAAGGCUAAAUACUCUUACUAACCGAUAGCGCAUAGUACCGUGAGGGAAAGGUGAAAAGAACCCCUGGAGGGGAGUGAAAUAGAACCUGAAAUUGUGUGCUUACAAGCGGUCAGAGCCAGUAAUGGUGAUGGCGUGCCUUUUGGAGAAUGAUCCUGCGAGUUACGUUAAACGGCGAGGUUAAGUAUAACGGAGCCGAAGGGAAACCAAGUCUUAAUAGGGCGAUUUAGUCGUUUGGCGUAGACGCGAAACCUGGUGAUCUAAACCUGUCCAGGAUGAAGCUGUGGUAAGACACAGUGGAGGUCCUAACCCACCGCCGUUGAAAAGUUGGGGGAUGAGGUAGGUUUAGGGGUGAAAAGCCAAUCGAACCAGGAGAUAGCUCGUUCUCUCCGAAAUGCAUCUAGGUGCAGCCUUGAGUGUUCAAUUAUGGGGGUAGAGCACUGAAUGAUCUAGGGGGCAUAUUGCUUACUGAAAUCAAUCAAACUCCGAAUACCAUAAUUUAUAGCUCAGGAGUGAGACUAUGGGAGUUAACUUCCAUUGUCAAAAGGGAAACAACCCAGACCACCAGCUAAGGUCCCUAAUUAUAACUAAGUGGGAAAGGAGGUGGAGAUUCACAAACAACUAGGAGGUUGGCUUAGAAGCAGCCAUACCUUUAAAGAGUGCGUAAUAGCUCACUAGUCGAGAGUCUCUGCGCCGACAAUGUAACGGGGCUAAGUUAUAAACCGAAGCUGUGGAAUCCGUAAGGAUUGGUAGGAGAGCGUUCUGUAGGCCGUUGAAGAAGAAGGGUAACCGACUUUGGAGGUAUCAGAAGUGAGAAUGCAGGAAUAAGUAGCGAGAAAGGGGGCGAGAAUCCCCCUCGCCGGAAGACCAAGGUUUUCAGGGUAAAGCUUGUCUUCCCUGAGUAAGCCGGGACCUAAGCCCAGGCUAUAAUGCGUAGGCGAAUGGAAAACAGAUUAAUAUUUCUGUGCCAGUCAUUUAUUGUGAUGGAGGGACGCAGAAGGGUAUGCGCGCGGACGAACGGAAGUGUCCGUAGAAGUAUGUAGGGUGACUUAGUAGGUAAAUCCAUUAAGUUAUAUCUGAGGUAUGAUAUACAGUCGUAAGAUGAAUGUGCAAAUCCCACGCUGCCAAGAAAAGCUUCUAACGUUAAUAUAUGACUGCCCGUACUGUAAACCGACACAGGUGGUCAGGAUGAGAAAUCUAAGGCGGACAGGCUAACUCUCGUUAAGGAACUCUGCAAAAUAACCUCGUAACUUCGGGAGAAGAGGAGCCCUUGAGUGUUAGUAUCCAUGCGAUACAAAGCGCUCGAGGGUCGCAGUGAAGAGGCUCAAGCAACUGUUUAACAAAAACACAGGUCUAUGCUAAGCUGGAAGGCGAUGUAUAUGGGCUGACACCUGCCCAGUGCUGGAAGGUUAAGAGGAGGAGUGAGAGCUCCGAAUUGAAGCCCCAGUGAACGGCGGCCGUAACUAUAACGGUCCUAAGGUAGCGAAAUUCCUUGUCGGGUAAG
rnacentral:rRNA from 1 species